UUUUUCAAACUGAAUAGUACAAUCCAUUUUUGUCAUUUCGAAAUCUAGCAUCUUCCCUUCUCUAUAAAAGAAACUCCUAAACAAGUUAUUUCUUCAAUUGUAGAUAUGGCAGAGGCGUGGAAGCAAACUGCACUUCUUGUGAUUGAUAUGCAGAAAGAUUUGAUCUUGCCGUACAGUCCGGCCGCUGUGAAAGGUGGUGAAGCUAUUGUGCCGAAUGUUAUCAAGGCCGUUGAACUAGCUCGAAACCGCGAUCUUCCUAUUAUUUGGGUUGUUCGCGAGCAUGAUUCCCUUGGGAGAGACGUGGAAUUAUUCCGCAGACAUUUCUAUGCUGCGGAUAAAACAAAAUUGGUCGUAAAGGGUAGCUCUGGCGCAGAACUAGUAGAAGGCCUCGAGAUCAAAUCCCAUGACUACAAACUGAUAAAGACCCGAUUUAGCGCGUUCCAUAACACAAACCUUCACUCAUAUCUACAGGGAGCUGGAAUCUCCAAGAUAGUAGUAUGUGGGGUUCAAACUCCAAAUUGAGUAAGACAGACUGUGUUUGAUGCGGUAUCGUUGGACUAUGAUGAGGUUACUGUAAUUGUUGAUGCAACUGCUGCUGCCACAUCUGAAAUUCACUGUGCCAAUGUUGUCGACAUGAAGAACAUCGGAGUGGCAACGCCAACACUCGAAGAAUGGUGUCAUGCCAAUAAUUAACUACUAGUAGUACAUUAUCUAGCUGCUAAGAAACCUCAUAAAACUAUAUAAGAGGAUUUUAUUAGUUAAAAUUUCAGUAUUAUAUUUGUGUUAUUAA